rnacentral:lncRNA from 1 species
AAAAAUUUCAUAUAUUCUCAGAAAAUGCCACUUUAAUGUCUAUUCUUGAACUUUGUUUUGGUACUUUUUUUUUUUUCCUUUCUGAAAAGCAAAAAUGUUGUCUGCUUUUGGUAACCAGUACAAUAAACUGUAACGGUCUGUAAAUAAAUAAAUAUUGAUGUAUACAAUUUAUGUAAGUAGGCAUUCUGGGAGAGAAGAUGGCUCAGGGUUUCUGUGGAUCACCCUGGGAAGUGGAUGGAUUUUUCCCAGCUCGGGUUUGCAUCAGGUUCAGUUCUACUAUAAAAGGUGCAAAGCCUGUUGGAUGGCAGCCCCAUGCCACCGUGGGCUGGGUGAUUCCAGCUCAGAAGCAGAUGCUCAGAGAGCCAAAGCACUCUCUUGUUUGUGCCAACACUGGCAUCACGGUCAAAGACUUAGCCAGGGUGGACUGAACCACCUUCCCAUCUGUCAUGCAAAUGUCCCCAAGCAGUGUUGAAGGACAUGCCAGGUCAGCGUUGGAACCUGCCCUGCCAGGUCCUGUUUUGUAGAUAAAAGAAUGGCUUGAGUCAGUGGUAUUUUCCCUAUUUCAUCUCCUAACACUGCAAUAUUCUGUCACUUACUGGGUAAUCUGUAAUUGUAUGUAAAUACAUACGGGAUUAUGUACAUUGUGUAAAUACAUAAUUACAGACUUUGGAAAACUGGU